CGAGUCGGCUGGGCGGUCGCGUCGGCGACCCUCCGGGGUCGUCGCCGAGGAACGUCCGGACUCCGCAGGGCAGGGUGGUUGUUAACGGCAACCCGGGGUGACCCGCGGGAAAGUGCCACAGAAAACAAACCGCCAGGUCCCUAGGACCAGGUAAGGGUGAAACGGUGGGGUAAGAGCCCACCAGCGCACCGGGCGACCGGAGCGGCUCGGUAAACCCCACCCGGAGCAAGGCCAAAAGGAUCGUCCGCGAGGACGAUCUGCGCAGGCGUUCGAGGGCUGCCCGCCCGAGCCUGCGGGUAGGCCGCUCGAGCCUGCCGGCAACGGCAGGCCUAGAUGGAUGGCCGCCACCCACCGCCGCGAGGCGGCGGGAACAGAAUCCGGCGUACAGGCCGACUCGUCCG
rnacentral:RNase_P_RNA from 1 species